CCAGACUCCUACGGGAGGCAGCAGUGGGGGAUAUUGCACAAUGGGGGAAACCCUGAUGCAGCGACGCCGCGUGGGUGAAGAAGCGCCUCGGCGCGUAAAGCCCUGUCAGCAGGGAAGAAAAUGACGGUACCUGAAGAAGAAGCCCCGGCUAACUACGUGCCAGCAGCCGCGGUAAUACGUAGGGGGCAAGCGUUAUCCGGAUUUACUGGGUGUAAAGGGGGCGCAGACGGCGAUGCAAGCCAGGAGUGAAAGGCCGGGGCCCAGCCCCGGGACUGCUCUUGGAACUGCGUGGCUGGAGUGCAGGAGGGGCAGGCGGAAUUCCUGGUGUAGCGGUGAAAUGCGUAGAUAUUAGGAGGAACACCAGUGGCGAAGGCGGCUUACUGGACUGUAACUGACGUUGAGGCUCGAAAGCGUGGGGAGCAAGCAGGAUUAGAUACCCUUGUA
rnacentral:rRNA from 1 species